UACGAAGGGGGCUAGCGUUGCUCGGAAUCACUGGGCGUAAAGCGCACGUAGGCGGCUUUUUAAGUCAGAGGUGAAAUCCUGGAGCUCAACUCCAGAACUGCCUUUGAUACUGAGGAGCUUGAGUCCGGGAGAGGUGAGUGGAACUGCGAGUGUAGAGGUGAAAUUCGUAGAUAUUCGCAAGAACACCAGUGGCGAAGGCGGCUCACUGGCCCGGUACUGACGCUGAGGUGCGAAAGCGUGGGGAGCAAACAGG
rnacentral:rRNA from 1 species